GACGUAGGGGGCAAGCGUUGUCCGGAAUUAUUGGGCGUAAAGCGCUCGUAGGCGGUUGCUCAAGUCAGGCGUGAAAGCCCCGGGCUCAACCUGGGAAUUGCGCUUGAGACUGGGCGGCUUGAGUUCGGGAGAGGUGAGUGGAAUUCCCAGUGUAGAGGUGAAAUUCGUAGAUAUUGGGAAGAACACCGGUGGCGAAGGCGGCUCACUGGACCGACACUGACGCGUGAGGCGCGAAAGCGUGGGGAGCAAAGCAGGA
rnacentral:rRNA from 1 species